UGACAAAAUUCGCAAUCACUUAGUUGCCAACCCAAUAACACUAUCUUAACAGUGAAUUCUCCUUUCAUAAUUGUUGUGAGAAAUGAAAUUGUUUCAAUAAUUGUUGUGAAAAAAGUGAUAUUGAUUUUGUCAUUAGGUGGUAGUAACAAAAUUCGCAAUAAUUAAUUAUUUGCCAAUCCAAUAUUUCCCACGGACGCAUAAACAUCCUGUUGAUAAUGUUGAAUAAAAAAUGACAGAAGCAAUGAGCAUCGUGUUGUUCGACAGUAAUUAUCUAGAUUUUCUAUUAAACGAAUUUCAAGCGAUUCACGAUCGAUAUUAGGACAAAGUAAUUCGACCAACUUGGACGCUGAUAAGAUUCGAGGAACGCCAGGCACGCUAGAAAGCGAGUGUGUCGCGAUCGUAACGAUGACGAUGGAGAAUCACCAGGUUAGAGCUUCGAAACCGGAUCAUUAUCUUCUACUGAUGGCAUGCUCACUUUCUCAUGCAUCCUCGAGUGGGAUUAAUUAACAUCUCAGAUAAACAUCUGAAAGAGAAACCGAGUUCCACACUUCUUUCAAACUCCUAUUUCCAAAUUCAGAAUCUGUGAAAUAUUCAACUUCCAGCAACUUGGAUCAAUUCAUCCUGAAUCAAGCCAGAUAUACCUAUCGUUCUUUGAAAAGAAUGAUCGCAAGAUAAUUCUAUUAUACUGUGCGAUUGCCAUGGAAAAUGGAUUGCCAUUGUUUGAAGCCUAACAUGAAUACAACAAUAUGAUUCAUAUCAUAUUCGAUGCAGACAAACAAAGGUUAACAACAUGCUUCUGGAAAACAUCAGAUUUGGCAUACAACAAGCUCGCACCAAUGUCAGGUAAGCGCCAUCAAACCAAUUCCAAGUUGUCAUUCAAAUUUUCAUUGUAGAUCUUUGUAAGCAUCAACGCAUAUCACGUCAGCCUGCGCUCCAAAGAAAGAAUCAAAAACAAACAAUGAGAAGACGGCUGUGAUUCGAUUCUUAUAGCAGCGUGUAUCAUUGGCAUAUACAGUUGGACCGAGUUCAGGUAUCUUCGUGUUAUCUCGGAUGCGGGUCUAGGCUGGGUAUAUCGGUGGAACGCGUCCCGGUAUCGGCGAUCCCGUUGCCGACUGCGCUGGCUAGUUAGAAGAAAGGGAUCCGUGAAAAGGAAGAACGGACUGAAUGACACGGUCACCGAAAAUGACAGGUACACGACUUGGAAGAGCCGUGGACGUGGGACCGAUAUCGCAACCGCAUCUGACACAAACCUUGGUCAGCCAACUCCGUCUCGUCUUCUUUCUCCGUCCUUUUCUUCUUCCUCUCGUUCUCUCUCGUGUCUGCCUGCCAAUAUGCCUACCUGUCAACACACGCUGCAUUCAAUUAACUCGGGGACCAGUUUCACGCCUGUGUAAUGACGCGGAAAUCAAACUUUGCCCACCCCCGUGCCCCUCACCGACCCUCAAGACGGACGCGAUCCUGUAGGACGCCAGGGAACGACGACCUCGAUCUCGUGAGCAGCUCUCGUUCUGACAGCCACGGGAACAUCCUUGAAUCGGGCCCGGUGCGUAUCUAGCGGUUGAAAGGAAGAGAAUUUGAGGAAAAGAGAGUUGGAAAAUUAUUUGAAGAACAGAGAGGAUUUAGUCGGAGGAAAACCCAAUUUACAUUGUGAAAUUUCUAGCAAAAAAAGUUGAGGAUUAUUUGAAGAAGGAAAGAAGAUUAUUUGGAAAAAAAAACUAAUCACCACAUGUGAUAAGUAUAUUGCGAAUAUUCUUGCAAAAACUCCUAUUUUUGUGAAUUCAUGACACCUACAAGGAAAUUGUUUCAUCCGCUAGAUAUUGUACCUACGUAACGAGUUUUGUACUGUGGAUAUUCUACAUACGUUUGUAUACUACGUACAUCCUGUACAUUCUUGCACCUUCAAAUUUGCCUUAAAUGCAGAACAAUCGGCAGUCUGGUGAUGGAUCUGUAAACCAAGGUCACUGAAAGAAUGAGACAGUGACAAGGCUGAAAUAGAAAAGUAAACAACUCGAGGAAGUCUAAUCUUGCAAUCUAUGCGGCAACCGCGAGCAACACGAAAUCAGCAGAUCAGCGACGAUUACAAGAGGAUAGAGAUAGCGUUAUCUCUUAUCUACGAGCAGUCCGGGAUCUCAGCAUCCGCUAUCUAUCGAUGGAAUUAAGAAAGCUUAACCUGGCUAGAUUAAAUUAAAAUCGGACUUUAUCAGGGCCACUGCGCAUUUCCUCUUAUCUCGACGAUGACCGAUAAUGCGUUUACACCUUAUGAGAAUCCGCGAUCUCUAAUAGGACACUGGUAUCUUAGACCGAUAGAUCAAUAGAUCGAUAAGCUUGUUGCUUUUAUUUCGAAACUUUUUCAUUUUUACGUUCCCUGUAUAUUGUUUCAUAAUUUGGCAAACUGUUCUGGGUAUAUUAAGCAUAUUUGUGUAAUUAUA